rnacentral:rRNA from 1 species
GAUGAACGCUGGCGGCGUGCCUAAUACAUGCAAGUCGAGCGAACAGACGAGGAGCUUGCUCCUCUGACGUUAGCGGCGGACGGGUGAGUAACACGUGGAUAACCUACCUAUAAGACUGGGAUAACUUCGGGAAACCGGAGCUAAUACCGGAUAAUAUAUUGAACCGCAUGGUUCAAUAGUGAAAGACGGUUUUGCUGUCACUUAUAGAUGGAUCCGCGCCGCAUUAGCUAGUUGGUAAGGUAACGGCUUACCAAGGCGACGAUGCGUAGCCGACCUGAGAGGGUGAUCGGCCACACUGGAACUGAGACACGGUCCAGACUCCUACGGGAGGCAGCAGUAGGGAAAUCUUCCGCAAUGGGCGAAAGCCUGACGGAGCAACGCCGCGUGAGUGAUGAAGGUCUUCGGAUCGUAAAACUCUGUUAUUAGGGAAGAACAAAUGUGUAAGUAACUAUGCACGUCUUGACGGUACCUAAUCAGAAAGCCACGGCUAACUACGUG